ACCGUACCUGCAGCUAGCAUCAGCUACAGUUUCAGCUGGUCGGCGCAGCUUUUUAGCCUGGCCUAUGCUGCUGGUGGUUCCUUGUCUUCACUCCAAAAAUAUCUACAAUGUAUACCAAAACCUAACAUGCUUGAAGAUGUAGGAGAUCCUCGCUAUCCAUCCACCUUCGCAGCUUCUUUUGCCUCACAAUUACCUCUGUCACAAGUCCUAUUAAACACCGUGCCUGAUUCGGGUGCAGAUGACAGCACUGGGGACACUUCGCCUCAAUUGAAGCUGUUAUACAACCCUUAGACACAACCACUUGCCUGCUAAUUACCUGCUAUGAAAGAAAUUACAUAUUGUGAGCUACUAGCAAAGGAACAACUUCAACACUGCAUCAAAUGGCUCGACCAAAGUUAUCAGUGGAGCAAUAUUCACCUGGUUUCCCCAAAACAAAACAGCACAUCCCAAAGAAUGGUGAACUCCAGUUGAAAAGACAUGCGAUUCUGAAAUAACCAUGGGCAUUUCAGACAUCUUGCGGGAGAAUUAAAAGGGGCAAGAAUAGUCAGUGAUUUAGAUACAUUUUACCAUCAUGAGCAUUCACUGCAUUGCACAGUUUGUAACUGAAUAGUUGGAGAGAAACUGGACUCUGUGUAACUAUACUAGACAUGACAAGUACAGAAGUACUAGCUAGUAAUGGACAAGGAAUUUUACUCACGUGAGCAGUUCAAAACCGAAUCCAAGUAAGUUUUCCUCAAGUGUAUCCAACCAGCCCUUCAAAUGCUGCACCUAGACCACAAGGCCAUCCAAAACUGCACCACUCCGACAAUUCUGGGAGUUAUAUUACAGUCAGAUCUCAAAUGGAAUUUCCAAGUGUUUGAUAUGAUAUCAAGUGCCGGCAAGCGACUAUACAUUUACGACAUCUCAGAGUAUCAUGUGAAGAUCUAGCAGACAUCUUCUCGACAUAUCCGAUCUUCGCUAGAAUACGCUUCUCCAGUUUGGUCCACAUCAAUUUCCCGAACAGUUAUCUUGCAGUCUGAAAAUAGUGCAGAAACGUGUCUGCUGUAUUAUACUUGGAUAAGAACAGUUGUAUGAAACCACUCGUUUCUCUCCAGAGUCUAACUUCUUGCCGUCUUGCCCUUCUUGAAUCCUUUUCUCUCAAACUGUUUAAGUCAUCACGAGAUCGAAUUAUGUUCUACCGCCAACUCGUCGCCAAACCUCUUGCCAUGAACUCUGAAACUCUCUACACAUAACUAUACCCUAUUGUAGAACUGAGAGACACCACACUUCAAUUAUUCCCUUUAUCGUACGACUCUUUAACAACUAACUGUGAUUUUAAUUAUCUUUGUCAUGUUUGUAUUUAUUUAUUUUUGCUUACCAUAUUAUUGUUUUUCAUUCUUCUCUUUUCCAUUCUUCAUUCUUUUAUCCUCCCCUCUCAUACUCUCAUACUUUUUGUCCUUCUCUCUAAAUCAGCAAUUAAAGUACUUACAUGCAUUAUGA
rnacentral:lncRNA from 1 species